CCCAGAGUACCAGGCGGCUGGAGCACUGGGGGACACCCGGACAGAACCCUCCCUGGACCAAGUCCUCCAGGAACGGGAUGAAGCCAUUGCCAAGAAGCAGGCGGUGGAGGCGGAACUGCAGAGGUGCAAAGCCAGGCUACACGCCAUGGAGGCCCAGCUGCUGGAGGUCCUGGAGGAGAAACUGAGGCUGAGGCGGGAGCUGGAGGCCUGGGAGGAGGACGUGCAGCAGCUGGUGUGGCAGCAGGUCCAGAAUCAGCUGCAGAGAGAGGCCAAGGGUACUCGGGGAGCCCACGUGGACCCUGGAGCUGCCAGCACCCCCCGAUCCAGAUUCUCCCUGGGUCGGGGACGUUGGUGGUGA
rnacentral:sRNA from 1 species